rnacentral:rRNA from 1 species
AGAGUUUGAUCCUGGCUCAGGACGAACGCUGGCGGCGUGCCUAACACAUGCAAGUCGAACGGAGAAUUUCAAUAAGCUUGCUUAGAGAAAUUUUUAGUGGCGGACGGGUGAGUAACGCGUGGGUAACCUACCUAUAAACCCGGGACAACCCUUGGAAACGAGGGCUAAUACCGGAUAAUCUUUUGGUUUGGCAUCAAAGUAAAAGAAAAGGUGGCCUCUGAAAAUGCUACCGAUUAUGGAUGGACCCGCGUCUGAUUAGCUAGUUGGUGGGGUAAAGGCCUACCAAGGCGACGAUCAGUAGCCGGCCUGAGAGGGUGAACGGCCACACUGGGACUGAGACACGGCCCAGACUCCUACGGGAGGCAGCAGUGGGGAAUCUUCCGCAAUGGACGAAAGUCUGACGGAGCAACGCCGCGUGUAUGAUGAAGGUCUUCGGAUUGUAAAGU